rnacentral:rRNA from 1 species
CUACGGGAGGCUGCAGUGGGGAAUAUUGCACAAUGGGCGCAAGCCUGAUGCAGCCAUGCCGCGUGUAUGAAGAAGGCCUUCGGGUUGUAAAGUACUUUCGGCGGGGAGGAAGGGAGUAAAGUUAAUACCUUUGCUCAUUGACGUUACCCGCAGAAGAAGCACCGGCUAACUCCGUGCCAUGCAGCCGCGGUAAUACGGAGGGUGCAAGCGUUAAUCGGAAUUACUGGGCGUAAAGCGCACGCAGGCGGUUUGUUAAGUCAGAUGUGAAAUCCCCGGGCUCAACCUGGGAACUGCAUCUGAUACUGGCAAGCUUGAGUCUCGUAGAGGGGGGUAGAAUUCCAGGUGUAGCGGUGAAAUGCGUAGAGAUCUGGAGGAAUACCGGUGGCGAAGGCGGCCCCCUGGACGAAGACUGACGCUCAGGUGCGAAAGCGUGGGGAGCAAACAGGAUUAGAUACCCCCGUAGUC